rnacentral:rRNA from 1 species
GAUUAACGCUAGCGGCAGGCCUAAUACAUGCAAGUCGAACGGCAGCACGGGUAGCAAUACCUGGUGGCGAGUGGCGCACGGGUGCGUAACGCGUAUGCAACCUACCUAUAACCGGGGAAUAGCCUUCUGACAGGAAGAUUAAUACCGCAUAAUAUCACUGGACGGCAUCGCCCGGUGAUCAAAACUCUGGCGGUUAUAGAUGGGCAUGCGUGACAUUAGCUAGUUGGUGAGGUAACGGCUCACCAAGGCUACGAUGUCUAGGGGUUCUGAGAGGAUGAUCCCCCACACUGGUACUGAGACACGGACCAGACUCCUACGGGAGGCAGCAGUAAGGAAUAUUGGACAAUGGGCGCAAGCCUGAUCCAGCCAUGCCGCGUGAAGGAUGACGGCCCUCUGGGUUGUAAACUUCUUUUAUACGGGAAUAAACCCCUCGAUGCUUCGGGGGCUGAAUGUACUGUAAGAAUAAGGAUCGGCUAACUUCGUGCCAGCAGCCGCAGUAACAC